UUAAAUUGAAGAGUUUGAUCAUGGCUCAGAUUGAACGCUGGCGGCAGGCCUAACACAUGCAAGUCGAACGGUAACAGGAAACAGCUUGCUGUUUCGCUGACGAGUGGCGGACGGGUGAGUAAUGUCUGGGAAACUGCCUGAUGGAGGGGGAUAACUACUGGAAACGGUAGCUAAUACCGCAUAACGUCGCAAGAC
rnacentral:rRNA from 1 species